ACGGCUCAGUAACACGUGGACAACCUACCCUUAGGUCGGGGAUAAACCCGGGAAACUGGGUAUAAUACCCGAUAGUCCUCGGAUGCUGGAAUGCACCGAGGUCUAAAGCUCCGGCGCCUAAGGAUGGGUCUGCGGCCUAUCAGGUAGUAGUGGGUGUAGCGUACCUACUAGCCUACGACGGGUACGGGUUGUGAGAGCAAGAGCCCGGAGAUGGAUUCUGAGACACGAAUCCAGGCCCUACGGGGUGCAGCGGGCGCGAAAACUUUACAAUGCUGGAAACAGCGAUAAGGGAACCUCGAGUGCCAGGUUACAAAUCUGGCUGUCGUGAUGCCUAAAAAGCAUUGCAUAGCAAGGGCCGGGCAAGACCGGUGCCAGCCGCCGCGGUAACACCGGCGGCUCGAGUGGUAACCGCUAUUAUUGGGUCUAAAGGGUCUGUAGCCGGCCGGAUAAGUCUUUUGGGAAAUCUGGCAGCUUAACUGUCAGGCUUUCAGAGGAUACUGUCUGGCUCGAGGCCGGGAGAGGUGAGAGGUACUUCAGGGGUAGGGGUGAAAUCUUGUAAUCCUUGAAGGACCACCAGUGGCGAAGGCGUCUCACCAGAGCGGACCUGACGGCAAGGGACGAAAGCUAGGGGCACGAACCGGAUUAGAUACCCGGGUAGUCCUAGCCGUAAACGAUACUCGCUAGGUGUGCCGGUGACCACGAGUUACCGGGGUGCCGAAGGGAAACCGUGAAACGUGCCGCCUGGGAAGUACGGUCGCAAGGCUGAAACUUAAAGGAAUUGGCGGGGGAGCAC
rnacentral:rRNA from 1 species